AACAGAUUCAUAGUUAUCCAAAUCUUGCUCAUAAGGGUCUUCCAAUUUCAAUCUCAGUUUCUCUGCUUGACGACUUGCAGCCUCCUGAGCAAGUGUCCAAUCAUAAAACUUUCGUUUCUCUUCAUCGCUUAGUACAUCGUAAACUUGUCGUAGUUUCAGGAACUUGUCUGAAGCAGACUUUAAUGGAAGUGAAGUUGUGUCUGGAUGGUACUCUUUUGAUAGCCUCCUGUAAGCUGAUUUUAUUUCUUCUAAAUCAGCAUCUGCUGAUACACCUAAGAACCUGACCAGUUUUGGUUCCAGAAAAAAAAUAAAUUAAAUUCAACUCUAAUGAAUUCUUUAAUUUCAAACAAGCGGUAAAAGAAAUCAACGUGAAAAGCAGAGACUCACUGGUAAUGAGAACCAGCAACAUCUUUGAGCAAAUCAGCAAACUUGUCACCCAAAAGAUUCUUCUUCUCUUCUUCUGCGUUUAAUCGUUGCUGUGAAGUACUGGUGCUACUUCCUCCGAUCCACCCUUCAUCUGGGUUGUCCCAAUGGAUUCUUGUGUCCACUCCCGGCGGCGCUCUCUGCCGCUUUCGAGGUCCUUGUCCUGCUGCGAAAACACGAAACCCACCUUUCUUUCUUAUUGUUAGCAGUUGCUGUGGGUCUUUAUUGGAGUUGGUGGUGUUUUGGGUUUUGAGUAAGAGCAAAUAUGAAGCUUGAGGAGCAGCUGUGGAAGCCAUUAGAGAUACAGAGAAGCUUGAAUGGCUUUGGCAUGGCUGCUUUAGAAGUUGAAGGGGGGGGAUUUUCGCAGCCUCAUGUUUAUGUGGCUGAGGGUUUUGAUUAAAUUCCCGUUUGGCGUUUUGUUUGUUGAAAUUUGGACUUCAAAGUUUUAUUUACUCGUGAUUAACAGGGAGCACACUUUUUUUUUAAUAUUUAUUUUUUUUAAAUGGAGACAGGAUAUUUUUAUAAAAUUUAAUAUUUCUCUUAUUUAUUUAAAUUUAUUCAAAUAUACUUAUGAUUGAGUGGAUAUAAAUAUUUAAAUUUAUUAUAAAUUUAUUUUUAUUAAUAAUUUAUAUUUUAAAUUUUAAUAAUUUUAUAAAUUUUUUAAGUUUUAUUUAUGUAAAAUAUACUAUACAAAACAUUAUUGAUUUGUAAAAUAUGUUUAAUUAAUUAUUUAUUUAAAUAGAUUUUAGUUUGUAAUAUUUAAUAUUAUUAUAAAAAAAUUAUCGAGAAAAUUAUAUUUUUAAAUAUAUUAACUAGAUAUUUUUAAAAUUAAAUUUAAUAUAUUUAAUUAUAAAAAUUUCAGAAGGACCUCAAAUGCAAACUAAGAACACAGACUACAUGAAAUGAAGAAGGCGAAAAAGCAAAUGGAAUAAGAGUUUCUUUGAGGGGUAAAAAAGUCAAAACGCAGCUGUAAAGUUCGGGUCGGGCUUCAAAUAUGGGCCUAGAUUUUCUCAGCCUUUGGGCCGAUGCUUGAUUGUUUGGCAUUUGAAAAUUACAUCUUUGUCUUCAGUAUUUUCCUACUUUAUCAGAGUCACCCACAUUAAACUACAUAUUACACCCAAAAUAUUCAAUUAAUCUGACUGUCGUAUAAAAGUUGAUAAACAUUACCCAUCAAAAAUUACUUUAAGAAACUCUAUCUAGAAAGAUAAUUUAUAUUUAAAAAAUAUUUUUUAUUUUUCAUAAAAAUAUUUUUUAAGGAAAUAAUUUAUUUUUUAUUAUUUAAUUUUAAUUUAAAAAUAAAAUUUAUUAAUAAAUUAAUAUGUAUAAAAUUUAGAUAUGAAAAAUAAUUUUCUCUCUUAAAAGACAGUUAUUUUUUUAACAAAAUCAUCUUUUUUAAAAAAAAAAAUAUUUUUUAUUGAUUAAAACUUUUAAUAUAAAGUAACUGUUUAUAUUUUUUUAAUAGAUACAAAAUAUAAUUAUAAUUAUAAUUUUAUUAAAUAUAAAAUAAAUUAUUUAAUAAAAUAUAUUAUAUUAUGUAUACAAAAAUUAAAUUUUUUACAAUGAUUUGAAAUUUCUAUAAAAUUAUUGCAAUAAUAUUAAAACGAUAACUGUUACUAAAUCAAUAAAUUCUAAAAUGUAGCAGUGAGGUCUGAUGCUUUAAUUUCCAUAACCAAUUCUUUUUCUUUUAAAUGUAUUGUAAGUAUUUUUGGGAGAAAUAAUAUAAUUUCUCCAAUCCAAUGAACUAGUUUUCCCAAAAUAAAUAAAUAAGCAAAAGAUCUAAGAUUGCCCAUAAUUUAAUCAUAUAUAGUAUAAAUUUUUUUAAAAAAAUAAUUAAUUUUGAUUAAAAUUUUUAAUAAAAAAAAUAAAUAAAAUCCAUUUUUAAUAUUUUUUUAGUUGGAUAAUGAUCCAAAUUCAUUAACAAAUUUUCCUAAGAUUACUGUCUGAUUUGUGAAAAAAUCCUUUUAGAUAAAAUGCUAUUUUCAUUAAUUAACUAAUUAUAAUUAAUACAUAUUAUAUGCCACUAACUAAUCCAAACAACAGAUGGAUUAAUUAAUUCCCAUAACCAAUCUAAUAAAAUGAAAGAGAGGAGAAGAGCAACCCAAAACAUUAGACUCCAGCAGGCUGAGGUGGCGCAGGAGGCUGAUCAGGAGGUGGAGGAGGAGGAGGAGCGGCCACUGGUGAUACCGGUGGAGCAGCUUCUUUACGGCGGUGUGCACUCUUAUUAUUAUGCAUCCAAACCUUAAGAACGCUGCGUUUAACACCAACUUCAUUGCAGAAGUUAUUAAGCGCCACGUCAUCAUUCUUAUUUAUCCUCCACCCUAUCUUCUCCGCAAACCCCAGCAUCCUCUCCUUCUGCUCCUGCGUAAACUUUGUCCUAAACCUUUUAUUCUUCAUUCCCGCCGCCGCAGCAGCACCGGACCUUCCACCGGACGCCACAUUCACCUCCUCUCUCUCAGGCGUCUCCGAUCUCCGAUCAUGAUCAUCAAUAUCAGUGCCAUCAUCAAAGUAAGAACUCAUCAGGUGUUUCUUCCCAGAAGCAGCAUUGUAUGAGAAAACUUGGUAGUGAUGAUCAUAAUGCUGCAAAGAAGAAGAAGCACCACCUUCUCUUCUGUGGAAAUUACGGUGGCAGCCACAUGCAGCACAGGUGAGGAACUCACGGGUACCGUCAUCGCCACGAGGUAUGAACUCACCACAGCCAUCAUUGGCGUGGCGGCCGAUGGAAGCAGCGUGGUUGCGCAUGCAUUCUUUAUACUUGACGAGGUAGUUGUCGGGAUUAGGACGGAUGAUGAUGGGAUGUUGAGAGCGAGGAUGGUCAUGAUCAUGGUGAUGGGGGAGAGAUGGGGAAGUGUGUUGGUAAGGUACGAGGCUGAGGUCCAUGAUUGAUUAAAGAGACAGCCAGAGGAUGAAGAGAGAGAGAGUCUGAGUGGUUUUAAAGGGAAAAAAGGGUUUUGCUAAAUCAGGAGAAGGAAGAGAACUGUAAGAAUAAAGAAGAGGAAGGGAGUAAUAAGGGAGUGUUUGGUUUGGUGUUUAAUUUGUUUUGUUUUGUCAACUUGUAAUAAUGGUGAUUGUGUAAGAAGCAUGAAAUGAAUUUAAAAACAAAAGGAUAAGUUGAAACCCAUUUGUCUCAUGAUCACAAGUUUAGUUACUUGGACAUAAAUGUCUUAACUUGUAUCUUGCUAUUCAAUAAUUUAUUGCUAAGGAGUGAACAAGAAAAAAAAAAUACAGACUAAAUUAUAGAAAAAAUAGCCCACGUAAAUUAAUAAUUUAAAAUAUCGAUAAAAAAAUUAUUUUUUAUUUAUUAAUAAAAAUUUGUAAUUAUAUUUUUUUUGUAAUUUUUUUUUUUACCUAGACAGUUGAGAUGAAAUGGUAGUAUCUUUUCUACCUUAAUUAAUUUACUCAAAUUUAAAUCCAUAAUAUAUAAUAUUUUUAAGACUUAGAAAAAAUCACUUUGCUUUAUUUAAUGGAUUUAUUCAAUAUAAAUUUAAAUUAAUUGGGCUAAUAAAAUUUAAAUACCAAAUGAUUCAUAAAAAUAUUUUUUUAAUUAAUAUUUAUAAUACUUUUCAUUUAAUAAAAGAAAAAGAAUUUAAUGGACAUCUAUAAAAUGAUUGUAGCAUUUUAUUUUCCAUCCAUUUUAUAAUUUUUAUUUAUUUUUUUAAUUAUUUUAAAAAAUCUUAUAAUUAUAUAUUCACUAUCAUAAUCUUAUUUUAUUUUAUUUUAUUUUUAAAGAAUCUCAAAAAAAUUUAGUAUUUAAUAUUUUUAAUAUAGUUUAUUUUUAACAUAAAUAUUAUUAAAAAUUAAUAAAAAAAAUUUAUCAUUCUUAAUAUGUAUAAAAAAAAUAAAAUAAAUAAAAAAAUUAUGAGACGGGAAUAAUUAAAAUUAAAUAUUCAUUAUAUUCUAUAAUUUUUUUUUAUUUUAUUUUUUUUAUAAAUAUUUAAAAGUGAUAAUUAUUUUAUUUAAAAGUAAAAUUUUCUACUAAUCUUUCAAUUAUACUAAUUUUUAAUAUAAAAUAAGAACACUAAAUUUUAUUAAAACAAUAAAAUUAUUAAUAAUGGCAUAUAAUUUAAAUUAAAUAAUAAAAAAUAAUUUAUAUUUUCAUUAAAAAAUAAUUAAUAAGAGAUUUUAUUAAAAAUAAAAUAAAAUAAAAAUGAGUAUGUGCCAAUUAUAUAACCGAGCUACCAGUAAUAUUUAAUUUACUAAAUUUAUAUAUUCAAACUAAUAAAAAUAAUUAAUAUUUUUAAUUUUAAAAAAAUUUAUAAUAAUUAGUUUUCCAAUAUAUUUUCAUGUGUUAGCAUUAAUUUCAACAUUAGUUUACGGAUCACUUAAAGAAAUUAAUUCACUAAGGCAAAACUAAUCCGGUGGAUUUACAAAUCCACGCGUCAAUCCUCCAUUGCCUUUUUUUUGCGUCCUUACUAAAAUUUACACGUUCGUGAAAGGUCAAUGUCUCAUUAUCGGAGACGGGACCCACCACGUGGUUUUCUGGAGCAGAGUAUCAGACUAUCCAACGGCUGAUAAAAUGAGAGAUCUUCCGCAGUAUGGGCAAAUCUGAUAGGAGAGGAUACGGUGUGUAUGCGUGUGUUUUUUUUUUUCCCCACACGUCAAGUAUUUCCCGCCAUGCUGUGUGGGUCCCAAUCGGAAGAGGAGCGCGACUUUCAAGGUACAGCAGAAGUAGUACUGGGAAAUUAUUCGGUGUAGUUAGUCUACGUGUGCCCUUCACUCGUACGGGUUUGAAUUCCUUACAUGCACCAUCGUUCUAGUUAAAUAAACACAAUUUAAUCCUUGAAAUCCUUUUCUCAGAUAAUUCAAGUCUAGUUUAAACUCCAUUUAUUUUUAAAAAUAUUUUUUACUUUUUAAUACUGAAGACAUUUAAAAAAUUAAUUAAUAGAAAAUUGUAUUUUCAUUAAAAAUAAAUUUAAAUGGUUUUUAUGGAAAAUAAUUUUUUUAAAAUAAUAAUUAAUUUUUUUUACGUUUUAGUAAUCUAUUAAUUCCAUCACGUAUAAAUUUAUUAAUAUUAUUUAUUUUUUAAAAUAUAAUUAAAUAAUAAAAAUAAGUUAUUUUCUCAAAAAUAUUUUUAACAAAAAUAUUUUUGAAUAUUUUUAACAAAAAUAUUUUUGAAUAUUUUUAAGAGUAUUUUAGUCAUUAUUUUUUAAUAUAUUAAAUAUUAUUCUAUAAUUUGCCCGUGAAAAGAGAGGAGAGAUUAACUGUUGAAAAUUUUAGAAAUACUACUAAAAUGUAAAUGUAAUAGUAACAGCUUCUAUUAAUAUUUAAAUUUAGAGAAAAUUAUUAUUAAGCCCUUAAAUUUUUUUAAAAUUAACUAAUUAGUUUUUAUUUUAAAAUUAUUUAAUUAAAAUUUCUAUAUAUUUUAUAAAAUAUAACUCCUUAGUUUUUUUAAAAUUACAUUAAUUAUUUUAAAUUAUUUAUAUUAUUUAAUUUCUAUAAUUUUAAUUAUAUGUAUUAUUUAAUUUUUAAAAUUUUAAAUAUUCAGACUAUUUUAUUUUUUUAAUCAAAAUUAAAAUAGAUUAACAAACUAUUCAUUUAAUAGAAAGAUGAAUGAUUUUGAAAUAGGAUGAAUUAGUGAAUUUUAUAAAAUGUUAUUUUAUAUAAACUGUAUUAUAUAAAUUUUGUUUUAAUUUUGUAUAAGCAAAAAUAAUAAAAAUACUUGAAAAUGAUUUGAUUAUAAAUGUUCAAUUUAAAUCCAAAUCUGUUGAUGACAUUGACUUGGAAGAAGCUUCAGUAGGCAAAUUAUGGUGUAGUGGACUAUGACUGUCACUCUGCUCUGCAAAUUUUUCUCCUACGUUACCCUCACCCUCCCCCCCCUGCUUUUCCAACAAAAAAUUAUUAUAUGAUUUUAUACAUAUAUAAAUAUUUAUUAGAUGGAUCUAUACAGAUUUGAUAUAAAUAAUAAUCUAUUCACAUAAAUUUCAGAAAUUUGCAUUUUGAAUGCAUCAUUUUAGACUUAUUCACUUCGUGACAUGUAAUAUUUUCGGCCCCUCAUUCUUUCUUUUUUUUGCAGAUUGAACAAUUGCAACUUAAUUCUAUUUCCAGCUACAUAAUUUAGUUUUGUUGUUAGAAAAUCACUGAAUUAUUUCUGUUCAUUUGAAUUAAAUUCGGCUUCCUAUUGCCAAUAAAAGGGCUAUAUCUCUUUUAUCCCUAACAGUGGACAGAACACUCCAUCCAUGGUCAAUGAGACAAAAUUUAACACCCUUAAUAAUGAACAGAUGCUCCAAUACAUUAAAAAGUUACAGGCAACUCUCGAACAAUAUAAAAUUCGGGAGGAAGCCUCAUUUAUGGCUCCUAGAAUAAAGGAGGCUUCCUUUAUAAAUAACUUAAUCAAAAGCCGAGUAAUCCAUGUAACUGGGAUCGGUAAUAGCCCGAACGCUAAAUUGAGCAUCUAACUCCACGAUCACAUUGGACCAUUCUUUACUUUUAAUCGAGCUAAAAGCUUCUCUAAUAAUUAAAAUUUCAACAAUUUUUCUCCAACAUCACCAAAAACCACCAUUUGCUUAACAUAAAUAAACUCACCCAAGCUACUACGAAAGCAAGCAUAUAGUUAUUUAAAAAUUUUAACAUUUUUUAAUAGUAAAUAGUUUAGCUUACUUGUAAUCUUAAUUUAAUUUCAAAAUUAUAUAUUUUUCAUUUUUAUUUAUUAAUAUUUAAUUGGAAAUACAUUAACGAACCUCUUAUUUUUGCUUGUGAAAUUCUAAACUUUUUGCCAUAAUUACAUUCUAAUUUAUUUAGGACUUGUUUGAAAAUUAUUUUCUUUUUUGCAAUAACUUAAUUCAGUUUUCUUUCUCAUAAAAAUUAAUAAUUUAAAAAUAGUUCAUUUUAAAAUAAAUAAAAAUUAUGUCAAAAUAAUAUAAUUGGACGAAAGAAAUCUUUUGAAAACAGAAUAAAAAAUAACCACAGGCACAAAGUGAAUCAAAGAAAAUACAAACUUCCCAAGUCAUUUACAACUAUCAAGAUUUAAGAACAAAUCUUAAACAAAUAUAAUUCCAUUUUCCUUGAUAGUGUCAAGAACAAUCCCAAGCUUACCUUCAAUUCUUUCAUUCUUUCUGGGUUCAUAAGCCAUUGCAUAUACAUCAGCUUCCUUUGAUCUCUCAGCAAUAAGUUGCCCUAUAACUCUACAGGCAUUGUGAUCGGUGAGCGACGGUAAGCUGUUUCGAAGAUCCUUGGCAUUUGUCGUAGCAACCGAUAUCACUUUACUCGUUGCCCGGUGCAUAACUUUCGCGUGGAUAAAUCUCUUCGAAAAGAAAACAUUUAGUAAGAAUGGCCUCAUGUACAUAUCUGUCCUCUGUUUCCAUGAUUUCUUGUUAGGUUUCUUUGCAGCUUCGCUUCGAGAUCUCCUCGUCCAGGCAGCUUGAAUGAAAGAAUUCUACACAUGUAUCAAGACAAAUGAUUAUGAUUUGCAGCUUUUUAGAAAUUUAAAAGCUCACUGAUUUACAUACAAACAAUUCAGAGAAUGCCAGCAGACCAGAUGAAGCACAAAUGCCAUCUCAUACUUCCUUCACUAAGUUGAUAGUAAUUGAAUUCAACACAUUAACUUCAUGCUGGCUGCGAAUUUGCGAAUUACUACUAAGCAGAGACACCAGUGUCAAAAGAAGACCAACAAGUUUAAGGAUGAAAAUUUCACUUUUUUAACAGGCAGAACGUCAAGGAUAAGCAUCUAACAAACCAUGAAAGCGCCUGAAACAAGCACUAGAAAAAACGAUAGAGAUAACAAUCAAGUUGGUUUCUCAAAUGUCAAUAGCCAUAAACUAAGCUGAAUUUUGAUCCCAUGUAACAUUCAUUCCCUUUGCCUUGAGAGAGAGACAGUAAAAGCGGAAGAGGGAGCCCGUAGCGGCGGCCGGAGGGUAGCUAUGGCCUCUAUGGGACUACGCUUCACGGGCCCCUCAGAGGCCACUUCUCUAUUAAUUCCACUAUAGCAAAUUGUAUUUGUUUUUUUAUUGUUUUUGUGUCACUUAAGGAGGAUAACUUAAUCUUUCCAAUCUCCUUGGAUUCAUACAAAAGAAACACAUGAUGCACCCUCAUGCAGGACAAAAGACACAAGCUCAAGUGCCUCUUAAGUCUAACAUGAGUUGUAAAAAAUGCUAGCUGUUGAAGUAAGCCAUUAACUCCUUUCUGCCACCCUCCAGACGACAGUAAAUAUGUGGUCUAGUCCUGGCUUGCACUGCUCAACAACUGUCCUACACUAGUACUACCGAAAGUAGCACUGGCACAGAAAUAGUUUUAUACUCCUUAGCCAACAUAGCCUGAACUCAUUCCUUAUGACACAAAAAGGACCAAUGACCCCAAUAAUUGUCCUUGGGCGAUAACUCAAGCAGAUAGGGUGCAGUUUAGAUUCAAAUACUAAAUCCGCAAUUAAAGAAAAAAUUAAGGGGCCUUAUUUGAUUCCUGCAAAGGCCCAAUUCAAAUUUCAAAGGGCAUUGAUAGCAGAAAAUACUUGUGUAUCCCUAUCCCAUGUCUUCCAGGAAACUAUUUUGGACAUCAAAAACUGCAUUUAGAAAUAUUUUUGUCUUUAACCCGGCUCCCAAAGUUACCACUUCAAGUCAGCAGAGGAACUGAUUAAUUCAAAACCAGCUAUGAGAAGUGGAAUAUGGCACAGAUUUCCAACUAGUAAAUGUUUGUAAAUUUCUGACAAGAUAAGUUGUCAUUCAAUUUUGUCAAUAAAAAGUAAAAAUUGCAUAUUGGAAUCAGAUCAAAUUUCUAAUUCAGUAAUUUAAAAACUAACAACCACCAGCCAAUCCCAAAAAUUACACUUGUUUCAUAAGCUAAUGAACCACCCAUUAUUGAAAUAUGAUAAUAUCUCACAAGAAAAACACAACUAGAUCUUCAAGUGUCUUGUUAUUCUGUUGAGGUUUUAAACUACUUAGAAUAAGUCUAAGCACUAGUAAUUCUUAUGCUACUAGCCUACUACCAAUAAGAUUUUAGUCUAACGAAGCUUCCCACUUAUUUUUUAGCAUUCAAUAUUAUGACAUUAGCGUCUAAAUUUAAAUGAACUUCUGCAGCAAUAUAAAAUUUUCCCUUUUGAAUCCAGCAUAAAAAAUUUACUUGUGCAGUAACAUCUUCAAGUACCAGAACCCAUAUAAGACUAGAUUUAGAUAUUUCAUCUGAAAUUUUCACUCACUAGCACUGUUUUCUAAAAUCCAAUAAAACAGGGAUUUAGGCUCGCUCAAGUCUAAAGAAAGUCUCAUCAUUUCCUUUUAGACACAGUGACAAAGAAGAUAAAGAAUAAGUGAGAUUCUUUAUCAUCAAUUGCAUUGCAUACAAUUUAAGGAGGAUUUGAGUGAGAUCUAAGUUGUAAUUAACUCCAUUAGAAGUUUAUGUUGAGAAGCUACUCUAAGCUAACAGGUUCAAUGGAAAUACACCCAAAAGCUAACAAUGAGAUCCCAUUUUCUUUGAAUUCAAAUCCCAUCACAUUGUUGAAUUCCACCAUGAUAAUAGAACCUCAUUUACCACUUCUGAGUAUAAGAAUAUAUGUAUUAAGCGAAUCUAACACUUCUAUAAUUUUAUCAAUUGUUUUUCAGUCUACAGUAAGGUUUUUCAGUAGAAAAACUGAUUAAUGGUAAAACUCCAUAAUCAAAUAAGGAAUUAAGGAUACUCGAUUAACAAGUAUAAAGUAAGGGCAAUAUAUUAAGUGCUAAGAAAACAAAUAAAUUUGAAAAGGCAGCAGAAGCAGAAAAAAAAGGGAAAAAAUAAAUCCGAAAAUAAUCUCAUUUAGUACAAAUCAACAGGAAGCAGAAACCCAAUUUCAGUUGAGGUAAGUUAUCCAAGUCUAGUAAAACCCAACACAACCAAAGAAACAGAAGAAAAAAAAUGCAAACUCAUUUCCUUUUCACAGGAACCAAACAGAGAUAAGAAAGGGAAAUUAAAAUAGAAAAGGGUUUGAUAGAUUGAAGAAGAAAGCGUAUACCUUGUUGAGAACGGGAUUAGAAAGGAUCGAGAGCGAGUUGUUACUGGUGAAGAUGGUUAUACUAGGAAAGGAAGAAGCCCAUGAGAGAGAAGCGGGUUUGCCAGCGCGAGUUGAGUGAGUCGGGAGUGAGUCAGCAGGUACAAGUGAGCAAGCUGAAGCAGCUGCAGAAAAAGAAGAAGAGGAUAUUACCCACGCCAUUGCUUUGAUGGGCAACAGUGGAAUCGCCGUUUUCCACCGCAAAAUAUUGCCCAAUUUGCUUCUCAGGCCGACAUCCGGCGGUACGAAGAGAACCCAGCCCGACCCAAUUAUUUGGGCUUAUUUUAUGCACGUAUUAAUUUCAAAUCCAGACCAUUUAUUUUUUUUACUGCAAAGUUGAAUAAUGUCUAAUUACUAUGCACGUGUUAAUAACUGCUUCUCCAAAAUAAUUUAAUUAAAUUAAAAUAAGUAAGUUACUUUCUAAAAAUUUCUAAUUUCUCAUAAAGUUUAAAAAAAUUAAUUAAAUAAAAAAAUUUUUAUAUUUUUUAAAAUUUUAAAUUCUUUAACUGAGUUAUUUAUAAUUUUAAUAAUAUUUAAAUUAAAUUUUUUGAGAUAAGAUCAUUAAAAUAAUAAAAUUAAAUAUUAAUUAAAAAUAUCAAAAUAAUUAUCGUAAUAUUAUAUUAUUAGAUUUAAAUUGUUAAUUUUUUAUUUUAAUGAAUUUUAUUUAAUAAUUAAUUAAUAUUUAAAUAUAUUUUAAUAAGUAUUAUCUUAAAUUUUUAACUUUGUUGUAUUUUUACAUUUAAAAUUUUAAUAUUUUUUUGAAAAAUAUGAUAUUAAAUUUAUAGGUUUUGAUUCAUAUAUAUAUUAAAACAAUUAAAAUUUUUAGAUUCAAUUAUUAAAAUAAUAAAUUUAAAUAUUAUUUAAAAAUAUCAAAGAUAAUUACCACAAUAUUAAAAUAUUAUAUAUUAAUUAUCUAAUUUUAAAUAUUAGCAAUUUUAUUAUUAUCUAAAUGUUUAAAAAAAAUUAAAUUUAUCAUCUAUUUUUUUAAGGGGAUUUAUAUUUAUUCCUUACAUAUUGCUAUUAUUAACAAGUCAGUCUCUAUAUUUUUCAGAAAUCUAUUAAAACGUACUUAAUUUUUAUUUUUAUCAACGAAAUAAGUACUUCUGUUAUUUUUUCUAUUAAAAAUAGAUAAAAAAUGAGAGAGAAAAUUUUUAAAAUUUAAUUUUGCCCUCAAAUAAAAUUUCUUAUUUAAUUCUUGGAUAUUACUGUUAUUAACAAGUUAGUCUCUACAUUUUCAAAAAUCUAUUAAAAAAUUCUUAUCUUUUCUCAUAUCUAUUAAAAAGUUUUUAUAUGUUUUUUCGUUAAUAAAAUAGUCUCUUCUCCUUCUAAAAACAAGAAAAAAAUGAUGAUGAAGAAAUAGAAUAAGAAGAAAGAGAAAAAAAUGCCAUGAGGAUGAAGAAAAAAAAGAGAAAAAUCUCUUCCUUUUUCUUCUCCUUAAAGAAGAAUUAAAAAAAAUUAAAAAAAAAUUAAAAGAAAAAAAUAAAAGAAAAAGGAAGAAUCAACAACAGAGGAAAAAACAUAAGGUAGUUUGAUUUUUUGUUAUAUUUUUUAUAGCAGAAAUAGAUGAAAUAAUUAUUUUAUUGACGUAGAGAAAAAAUAAGAACCUUUUAAUAAGUUUUUAGAAAUAUAGAAACUGAUUUAUUAAUAAUAAUAAUAUUUAAAAAUUAAAUUAUAAAUUUUUUUUAAAUUAUAUUCUUAACAAGACUUUAUCGUAAAUGAAGCCGCACAAACUAUAGAAUGCUAACCUCAUAUAUUUUAAAAUUCUUAAUAAAUAUAUUAAAAAAUUUUAAAUAUUUUUUUAUAAAAAAAUAUUUCAUAAUUUAAAUUUAAAAAUAUUAAAAUAAAAUAUUAAAUUUUAUUAUGAUAAUAGUAAUUACUGAUAAAUUAAAUUAUAGUCAAAUGCAUUAGAAUCCAUUCUUUACUCUCCAUAAAAAUUGCAAAAUAUCUUGCUAUAGUACAAACUCUAAAAAAACUUCUUAGCUUCUAACGUUACAAAUUUAGAGUUUUAUCUAAAAAACGGACAAACAAACUCUAUUUUUCUCUAUACAUUUAUUUUAUUUUUUUAUAAUUUUAUUUUUUUACUGUUAAAAAAAUUAAAUUUUUAUUAUCAAAGGUGUAUAUAUAUAAAUACAAUAUUUUUAUCUAAUAGAAAUGAGUUUUACUUUAUUUUAUAAUUUGAUUAUAAUUUGCAUAGAAAUCCGAGGUUUAGCCUGCUGGAAAGUACAUCCUUGUAGUCUUGUGAGGUCAAAGGUUCGACUCCCACACCCCUAUUUAAAAAAAAAAAAAAAAUUUCCAACAGUAAUAUAUUGCGUAAGAUAAUAACUAAUCAGCUUAAUUGAAUCAAAAGAGAUAAUAUUCUUAAUCUCUAAGUUAGUUUUAUAUUAUGUAAUAAGUAAAUUAAAAUUAUAUAAAUAUUAAUGUAGCUAUAAUUAAUAAUUAUGUAAGUUUUGUAUAUUUUAUUUUAUAAUAUAUGAUAUUUACUAAUUAUAAAACUAAUUUUAUUUAAUUUUCGUAACAAUUUUUAAUUAUAAUCUUUAUUUAGAGUAAAAAAUAUUUGUAAUAUUAUACAAGUGAAAUUAAUUUCUAAUGUUAUUAAUUUUAAAUUAAGGACAAUUAAAUUACUUAUUACACAAAAAUAAUUUAUUGAAGUAUAAUUUAUUAAAUUUAAUAAAUUUUAACAUUUAAAAAUUUUAUUUAUAAGUAUAUAUUAUAUAAUUUACAUUUAUCUAAUUAUUUAUAAAUAUACAAUUAAAAUUUAAGCAGACAAUAAUUUUAUUAUUUAAAUUAAUUGAAAAUUAAUAAAAUUUAAAAUUUGUAUAUAUUUAAAUUUAUAUGUGGAUGAUAAAGUAUUUUCAUUAAAAAUAUAUAAUAAUAUAUAGUAAUUAAAUAUAAUAUAAUAUUUUAAUUUAUAAUAUUAAUUUCUGUCACAUAAAUUUUAUUAUUUUUUUAGACUAUAAUUACAUAUAAAUUAAUUAUUAUGAAUUUAAUUUUAAAAAAAAUUUAAAAAUAUUUUUUAAUAUGCACUUAAUUUGAUAGUAAAUGAUAAGUCAAAUCGCAAAUACGAGAGUUCUCAUAUAUUAUGAGUUCUCAUACUUUACUCUUCUACCCUCGAUUCCAUUUCAAAAAAAAUAUAAAAUAAAAUAUUUAAUAUAUUUAAAAUAAAUAUAAUUAAAAAUUUAAUAAAAAAUUAUAUUUUUUAAUAUAUAAAAAAAUAAAAUAAAUAAAAAUUACGAAAUAAAAUAUAUAAAAAGAUCGAAAGGCGAGGAAUGUGCAGUUAGAAAUGGAGGACUUGCUCAAACACGAUAGAAGAUGGAUUUGAGUGUCAUUUAGUUUCAAUUCAAAAGAUAUAAAGCUGUUACUUGGUAUAUCUAACUGAUUAAAUUAGUUAAAUUAUGAACUAACUGGAAAACAAGAGCUAUAAAAAUGUGCCAAUAAGCUUCAAGCUACGACAUUAUAGCAUAAAUAUCUGAUUUGAUAUCUUUUGACAAAUCAGGAGAGUUAGAACACAACGAGUUCAACAGUCCGUAGCCUCUAUUUCUAAGAGUAACAAAACGCAAAAUAUACAAGAGCAACUACAAGCUUCACAUAUAGAGCUAAGUUCAACAGCCUGAGAGUAAUUCAUGACUGCUCAAUGCUCAUGAUUCCAUUGACUGAAACCAAGCAUGGCACUCAUCCAAAUCAGUUGGUGGAGUAACCCUCUUGCGAAUAAGCAUUUCUACAGUUGGGCAUUUCCUCUUCCUCCCACCUCGUGCCCUUGACCUGAAUUGUUCAUCAGACUCUUCAAAAUCACCAAGAGUAUAGACAUGGCACCCAGAUUUCUCAUGUUUAUCUCUGACAUGCUUGUACGCAAAUCUCAUAUCACAACCUGGAAAUCCACACGUGAAAGGUCUGCCUUCAAGGUGCAGAGCCUUAAUAUGCAGAUUAAGAUUUGUUUUACUAGAAAAUGUGUGGCAACAAUCCUCAAAAUGGCAUUUAAUUCUCUCCAUCGACUGACCACCAACUUCGUGGGUGCGGAGAUGUCUCUUCAAGUUCUUUUUCAGCUGUUCCGUCCCACAGAUCUCACAAGUCACGUAUCUGUGACAUGAAUGGAUGUGGGCCUUGAGGCAUUCAGCAUUGGAAAAAUGUUUCAUACAGCCUGGUUCUGCACAGAAUGCCUCCACUGAUUCUAAUUUGACAUGUGACUCCUCGUGUUUUUGCAGCUUUGAAGGAUAUUUAAACACCUUCCCACAACCAAUUUCAUGGCAAACAUACUGCUUCUGACCAACAUUAGUGGGGGGCGAAUUCUCGCUAUGGAGUUCUUUAACAUGCCUUUUAACAUUGCCUUGGAAAAUAAAUUCACGGUUGCAAUUCUUGAUAGGACACUUGAAGAGCUUUCCCUCAUGCGUAAGAAGGUGGCGAGUCAAGUGGUCUUUCCUUCUGUAGCUGGCAUGGCAAUCAUCAGCUGAACACACAAAUGGUCUCUGCAAAAUUAGAUAUAACACACAUUAGAAGCAACAAUUACAUGUAUAAUUAAACAUAAUUGGUUACACUAGUCAAGAAACCUUCAAACCUCAUUCAACCAGUGCGUGAUUGAGGCCCACUUGAUGGAGCUUCUCAGGAGGUCACCCAACCUGAUACUAGUCCAUCAAGUCCAAACUUUCAGCCUCUCGCAUUUUGGAGUUCUGCAUGUGGGAUCCAAUGCUUCACGCCACCACAUAUAAUGUUCUCAUAUUAGAAAAAGCUCUCCUGAAAGAUUAUUACUUUUCAAUUGAUGUGUAGACUCAAAAGAAUGAAACUGACAAUAUACUACCAAUAAACAGAAUACAAGUCACAAUCCUCAAGUAAUGAAGAAGUUGUCUUCAGCAACACUGAUGUCAAAGAAGAAAAAAUAAUUCAAACUACAAAAAUAUUGAAGGAACAAAGGCAGCUCUAAAGCGUUAUUAUAUUUCUAAUUUUCCACGCAAGUGAUUAGUUCAGAACAAAACCUUCCAUAAAAAGCUCCAUAAUACUAGCAACUCAAGACAUGAAUAUCAUUUGAAUCCCUUUCAAUCGAGUUCUUAAAAAAAAAAUUCUAACUUUUUCAAAUCUUCCAACUCAGACGAAGAAAUACAAAUCCAUCGCUGAGAGAAAAUAGUGCGUAAUUGNNNNNNNNNNNAAAAAAAAAAAAAAAACAACCCAGAAAAUUAAUUUCUUCAUCCAUUUCAAUUUUCAACACUUAUACUUAGUUUACAAAUUACUAACAACCCAAAAGAUUUUGGCCAUAAGCAAACCAGCAGUAAUAUGCACAUCCCAAGGAGCAACAAUUAACGUUCAAUAGACACCAAAACAAGCAAAAAAACAAGAUAAAUAAUUUAAGAGCCAUAUCAAUACCAUAAGAGAAUGACUUUGCAUAUGUUGUUUCAGAUAUGCAGGCUUUUUGAAACUAGCACCACAUUCUUGGCAAGUAUUAGACUUCACUCCCUCAAUUUUUUCUUCCCCAUGAGCUUCUUCCUUGUCCAUCUCUUCCUAUACCAUAAGAAUCCAAAAAAAAAAGAGAGAAAAUAAGAUACUAAUCAAACUACCAAAAAUCAAAUAACACCAGUUUGGUUACCAAGAAAACAGAUACUGCAACACCAAAGUCACAUGAUCUAAGGAUCCAAGAAGCCAAUUUGUUAAAGUAAGUGAUGACAGAUAGAUGAAAAACCUUGUGGUGAGUUUGAAUAUGAGAAGUGAUGAGAGACUUCUUAGAUCUGCAAAUUCCACAAUAAUCACAGAAAUAACGUCUGAUAUCUCUAAAAAUAGGCCUCGGCCUUUCGAUCUCAGCUGUUUCUUCCAUUUUGUUGUCGCUCUCGCUCUGAAUCUACACCACGCAGACCAGCUGUUUGGAAGAAGAAGGAGACCGAGCAAGAGGUACACUGGCUUCCUUUUAUCGCGCAAGGUAUAACCGAUGGGAAGAACUACUAAAAACCCUAGGUCUUGUGGCUGUGGGCCUACAGCCAAUCUUUUGUUAUUAAUUUUUUAGAUUUUAUUUAAAUAUAUUUAAUAAAAAUUCAAUUUAUACAGAAAUAAUUUUAAUAACGAACAAAUGAAAUAUUAUAAAUUAAAUUUUAAUAUAAUAAAAUAAUAAAAAAUUACUAAGUAGUACUUUUAGUUAAAAAUAUCUUAUUAAUCAGUUUAUUAACUUUUUAAAAUUACAUUAUGAUGAUCUGAGAUCCAAUAGAAUAGGGUUUUACAAGGGUUCUUGUAUUACAGAAUAAGGCUUAAAACUUUCUGAGGAGGGGACUCCUCUUUUAUACAUUGUCUUGCUUGCUGGUGACGUGUAAAGGUCUCUCCAGGAUUGGGCCACGCGUCUCUGCCAUACAGAUUCGGGUGUACUAGGGUAUCAGCUGCCUGCUACAUGCGUAACGGCCUCUGAUUCUCCUCAUGCGUACGUUCGAGCGGAUCUGCCAGGCUGUCUGGUGAGUACUGUUCUGGACCCCGGGCUGGGCCGAGAGUUGGGCUGGACGCUGGGCCUGAGAGGGGUCUGCUGGUCAGGGAUCAGGCUGGACUGAGUGAGGAAGCUUGGUCGAGCCCGGCCCGGAAGCUGGAAUGAGCCAGGCUUGUUGGAGGUAUCAAGUACGUGGGCCUCUGUGUCAUGGGCCUUUGGCUGUGGUCAAGCCCCUGUUCUGGGGUGAGGAAAUCCAGCGGUCAUCACAUUAAAAUCAAUAGUGUAAUUGAAUAAUUUCAACCGAACUUUUGUAAAGUUUAAAUUUAUUUAUUAAAAAGGUUUAAACGCUCGAACUCAAAUGGUAAAUUGUAUGUUAGACUUAUAAAAGAUAUACAUUCGAAAUCUGCAUAGCAAGAACGCAAAGCAAGAACAAAGUGCGAAACUAAUUGGAUAUUCCGAUCGAUUGAACUUCGUUGCGGUAUUGUGGAUUUCAUAACUGGUGAACGUGAUUGGGAUUUAAUUAAGGGUGUCGAUAUCGUUGACAUCAAUUGCUGAUUUAAUUAAGUCACUAUUGCUGUAGAGUUUGAAGGGUGCCAAAAUUGCAAUCUAAUUGCUGAGUGUGAGUGUAAUUGCGUGUUGAUAUUGUCGACAUUUGCUGUGGAUUUAAUUAAGCUGCCAUUGCCUGCUAAUAUUGUGACUUGAACCAGUGUGAAUCGAUGUCGACAUGUUCAAGCCAUUGAUGUCGUGACUGGUAUCAAGCCAUUGCCAUACCGAGAUGUUGAACCAGCUAUUGAGCAGCCUCCAUUACUGUUCUAAAAUUGGAAGCCUCAUUGCAACUCUUGUAAGUGAAAUUUUAUUAUUUUCUAAAAGAAAUACAAACUUAAUUGUGAGUGUGCCAAAAUUGUAUUAAUCUUAAUUGCUGAGUCAAAUUUCAAUAUGAAAUUGUUGUUGUUGUAGAAUAUUUGACGAUUAGGAGUAAUAACUUUUCUCUCGCCCUCUGUUUUUUUUAUAUGUAAAGAUGGGAUGUACAUUUCAUCUUUUUUAUUAUUUUAAUAACAUUGGCUAAUAGAAUUUAAGAUUAAUUUCUUAAAUUAAAAAAAUAUUUUGAGUCACGAUAUCAUAAUUAUAUAAUCAGUUAUAGAGUAUAAUGAAGAUAAAUAAAGUAAAAAAAUUACACUCACAUUGAAAUAUUAGCCUUUAUAUACCAAUUCAAACUGUUUUGUUAAAAAAAUGUUAUCCUGCAGAUUCAAAAUAUUAUACUGUAGAUUCAAACUAAUACUUCAUAUACAAUUCUUUUAUGUACCGAUCAAUUUGCAUCACUGUAAUAAGAUAUAAAUCAAUAUUUUUUUUAUUCUAUAUUUAUUUUGUAUAUUAUAAUAGAAUUAAUAUUUUAACUUUAAUAUUUAUAAAUAAAGAUGUACUAUUAUUUUUAUUAUAUUUAAUUAAUUUAUAAAUUGAUGAAUACUUGUAAAGUUAUAUUUUAUACAGAGUAUGAGAUUAUAAUGUUUAUUUAAAAUUUUAGAAAUGUUCAACGUACUGGAAUUAUAAAUUAAUUGUAAAUAAAAUAUUAAAAAAAUUUAAGUUAACAUAAAAAAUUUAUGUGAAUUAUUAAUAGAUUUCAAGAUGUUAAUCCAUUUAGUUUAUAUUUAAUAUAUUACUAUAAAAUAUUUAGCUUUUAUAAUUUAAUUAUAUUUUUAUAUUUAAUACAAAUCUAAUUUUAUAAGCGGAGAAAAUAUUAAAAUAAUUUUAUUUUGUAAACUUUUUUUAAUAACUUAAAAGACAUUAUUAUUAUUAUCGAUUUAUUUUAAUAUUUAUAUUUUUUUAGUUAUUUCUUUAAUAUAUACGUAGUAAAACGAAUAUUUAUUGUUAAUUAUUUUUUAAACAAUUUUUAUAACAUGAUUAAUUUAAAUAUUUGAAUUAUAUAUUAUGAGUUUAUUUUAUUUAUAAAGUUAAAUUACAUAUUUUAAUUUAGUUAUAUUUUUAAAAAAAUUGGAAUUAUAUUAAAAAACAAAUAAUGAUAUUAACAAUUAUUUAAUUCAAUUUUAAUGAACAUAUUAUUUUCUGUUAAUAGUAAUUAUUUCUUCAACGAUUAAUUAUUUACAUUGUUAAUUAUAUUAACGACAAUAUUAGCGAUUGUUGUAUUUUUAAAUAUAAUAACUAUAUGUUUUUUCUUUAAUAUUUAUUAACAACAAUAAUAAUAAUCGUUAAUAAUCAUAUAAGUGAUUGUAAUAAUUGUUUAAUUCAAAAUUUAACGAUUAUAUCAUCACUCAUUAAAGGUUUAAUAAUCAUUUAUUUUCAUCGGUAAUACAUUUAAUGACCAAUAUUAAUCGUCAUUAUAUUUAAAAUAACAGUUUUUAAAUAUAAAUUUAAUGAUAAUAUUUUUUUAAUAAAUGUUAAUGACAAUAAUAAUAAUCAUUAAUAGUAUAUAAAUAACGAAACAUUCUCGAUACUCUCGUUAUUAAUAAUAAUGAUCCGUAUUAUGAUAUCUCGUUAAAAUACCAACUGUCACAGACCCACAUUUUGAUAUUCAUUUGGAACCAUGCGGCUCUUGACUUGAAUGCCUUCAAGUCAAGUCAGCCUUAAGAAUUAUCUAAAUAUCCUGAUUAGUCAAGGUUACAUUCGCGAACAACGAAACUAAUAGACAGCAUUCAAUCAGAAGUCUCACAGUAGGCAUAAAGAUAAGAACUGAAUAUGAUAAUUUAUGAACAGAUUACUUAUUUUAUUCCAAUGGUAAAAUAGUAAUUAUAUAUUAUCAUCGAUACCGUCGCUAUAAUAAUUCUCACUUUUGUUGUAGACAGGGGAACAGUCUACAAUGAGAAAAGGCACAGUUCAGGAAAUCCAUAGGCCUAUAAUAGUCAACUGGGCCCAGCUCCUACUGGUGGUCAACUAGUUAGGGGUGAGCAUUCGGUCGGUUCGGUUUAAAACCGAACCGAACCGAAUAAACCGAAAACCGAAAUUUUAGUUUUUAUGAAAAUCGAACCGAACCGAUUUUGGUCAGAAACCGAAUCGAACCGAACCGGUCUG
rnacentral:lncRNA from 1 species